AAUCUGUUGUAAAACCCAUUCAAAACCCAUGAUGGAAAUUUUAAAUUUUUUCCUGCGUAUAUAUACACGGUAGAUUAAUACACCUUUCUCAUAAUAACUACUUUUAGUCAAUUCCAGCCACUGUGAACGAACUUUAAUUUGAUUACAAGUCUACUGUAUUGAAGCAACAUUCUUUAUCAGACUAUGACACUAAAUUGACUGACCCGGCCAAUGGGAAAGGAAAUAAAACAAAUAUUUUUUUAAGAAUAAAUAAUAUUUGGCAAUAACUACAUUCGGUUACCACAAAGAAACAUGAAAUUUUACUGCGAAAUAUUGACGUUAUGUGUAACUGCAUACAUGCAUUGCUAUUUAAGAUAGCUGGCACUCCAAUAUACAGCAGGCGUAGUGCAAGUUGGUAUGGUUAGGAUUAGCAUUUACAGACUGAAGUUUUAUUUCUUUUGACUUAUAAUGUCGAUAACUUUCUAUUUUUUCUGCUCACAACAAAAAUUUUCUGGAUGGCCUAAUAUAACUCACUUUUCAUUAUUUUGCCGUGGCUAAACUUUAGUUCAAUUAGAUUAAGACUUUCACGGCAUUUUUUUCAUCUCCAACAAGUGUAGAAUAUAUUCUACCAAUCUUGCAGAACGGAUUUAGUAAGAACCCCAUCAGCAACCAAACCUGAUCCAAACAAUAACCAAACACUAAUCCUUGAUCUUAUACCACAAUCUAACAGACCUAAUCCUAAUCUAAAUCAAACCCUAGUCAAAUCUUAAUCCAAACAGUAGACCUAUCUAGAACUGCUCUGAAUUUUAUGACACCAUGGGAUUAAAUUAAAAAAUCGCAUUUCAAAAACUCCACAGGAAGACUUCACAAUUGUGCUAUAAUUAUAAGAAGGUAUAUGAAAACAAAGACAAGCCAAAAUACAAGCGAAUCUAUCGCUGAAGGUUGUUUGGAUGCCAAAUGUCUGAUGAACGAACGAACGAAGAAAGAACCAAGAGAACAAAAUAUUUAUUGGAUUGAGUGUGUAUAAAGAAGAAUAAUACAGUCACUGAAACGAAUGAUGAGUUAGAGUAUGACCCUGGGUUAAAUUCAUAGAUCAUAACCAGAAAUGGCCAAACGCACAAUCGGAAUGUUUGGAAUCAUAUUAUAUGGAGUCAUUUUGGCAAUCGUCGAAGAGUGUUGAAAAACUGUAUUCGUAAUUAGAAAACGGUUCCCCACAUGAAUUGUAGCGAUGUUACCAGACUGCAGUUUAAUGCCAAAUGGACAUGACCAACGUAUGUCUACACUAAUACAGAAUAUGAAAUGCCAAGAUAUUUUUACGGAAGCUUCUCACAAAUAACAAUAUGUGUGAUUGGACAUGCAUGAUUUCGCGUUUGCCAAAAGUGAAAGAUGAUCGCGAAUGUGAAAACAACCGAUGAUCUCGUCAGAUAACGCUUACCACGAACUUUUCAAAUAAUAUCAUUAACGAUCUGAUCCUGUUCCGACAAAUCGAAAUGUUGAAACACGUACAGCUUUAAGCAACGUUAAUACAAUGCGAUUAAUCGGGAUGAUUUUAGGCUCGUUAUAACAAUAAUUAGCAAAUAUGACUAUACGUUUAAGCAUUAUCUGACGAUGUCAUCAGCCGAACAGCAAGUCGUUACAACGGUAUUCAAUAUAUGAGGGUGAAAUUUAAAAGGAAGAUAGGAUUCGAUCAUAUUGGUAAAAAUUUGAGGUUAAGAAAAGCCCAAAAACACAACCGAGCUUUAAUUUGUUAUAAAUAAGUCAGAGCUUAGAAUUAAAAAACGCGCGAAAUUCAUUUGUUUCUCAUUGGUUCAUUUCAACGUUUAUCUCAUUGGUUGUCACGAACGCACGUGUCCAUGCAGCCAUCACAUGAACUCCUCUUUCCUUUUUCACUUGAUCUUAUAAGGUACGUCAUUUUUAACGUUUAAUUUACUUAUAUUGAGCGCAAAUAUUCUCAAUUAACAUGUAACAGAUUCUUUCUCUUAAUUUAUCUUAGCAUACAGAUCUAACAAAUUCGUAAAAUAUUUUACGAGACACAAAUUGUAUGUAGUAUUUUCAACAUGGCGGCGUAUACAACUUCAUAUAUUAUUAACUCCGCCAUUUUUGGGGUACUGUCUGCCCUCGUGAAAGAUUCUAGAAAAUUCGUGAAAGGCGACUUUUAAAAGUUGUACCUGUAAAUUUACCAUUAUACACACAACUACAAUAAUAAGAAGUUGUAUUUCGUGGAGCGGAAACUUUCAAACGUGGGACUACCAGUACCCAAAAAUGGCGGAAAAUCGGCCAAGAGAAAGAAUAGAGGCAAACCAAACAUCCUCUCACCAUAAUUAAACACCUCCCAAGAUCAAUCAACAAAUCCAGCAUCCUCCCAACACUAUCAACCAACUCUCAAAUUCGAUCAACAAAUCCAGCCAUCUACCUAUACAACUAAAAAAAACAAAGUUCAAUCAAUAAAUCCAGCCACCUCCCAACACCAUUAAACAAAUCUCAAGUUUAAUCAACAAAUCCAGGCACCUCCCAACACCACUAAACAACCCCCAAGUUCAUUCAACAAAUCCAGCUGCCUCCCAACACCACUAAACAACUCACAAGUUCAAUCAACAAAUCCAGCCACCUCCCAACACCACAAAAGAACCCUCAAGUUCAAUCAACAAAUGCAGCCACCUCCCAACACUACAAAACAGCCCUCAAGUUCAAUCAACAAAUCCAGCCACCUCCCAACACUACAAAACAACCCCCAAGUUCAGUCAACAAAUCCAGCCUCCUCCCAACACCAUUAAACAAACUCACAAGUUCAAUGAACAAAUCCAGGCUACUCCCAACACUACCAAACAACCCCCAGUUCAAUCAACAAAUCCAGCCUCCUCCCAACACUACCAAACAACCCUCAAGUUCAGUCAACAAAUCCAGCGACCUCCAAACACCACAAAACAACCCCCAAGUUCAAUCAACAAAUCCAGCUUCCUCCCAACACCACAAAACAACCCCAAGGUCAAACAACAAAUCCAGCCUCCUCCAAACACCACAAAACAACCCCCAAGUUCAAUCAACAAAUCCAGCCUCCUCCCAACAUCACAAAACAACCGCAAGUUCAAUGAACAAAUCCAGCCUCCUCCCAACACCAUUAAACAAACUCACAAGUUCAAUGAACAAAUCCAGGCUACUCCCAACACCAUUAAACAACCCCCAAGUUCAAUCAACAAAUCCAGCCUCCUCCCAACACCAUUAAACAAACUCACAAGUUCAAUGAACAAAUCCAGGCUACACCCAACACCAUUAAACAACCCCCAAGUUCAAUCAACAAAUCCAGCCUCCUCCCAACACCAUUAAACAAACUCACAAGUUCAAUGAACAAAUCCAGGCUACUCCCAACACCAUUAAACAACCCCCAAGUUCAAUCAACAAAUCCAGCCUCUUCCCAACUCCAUUAAACAACUCACAAAUUCAAUCAACAAAUCUAGGCACCUCCCAACACCAUUAAACAACCCCCCCCAGUUCGAUCAACAAAUCCAGCAUCCUCCCAACACUACCAAACAACCCUCAAGUUCAGUCAACAAAUCCAGCCUCCUCCCAACAUCUCAAAACAACCACAAGUUCAAACAACAAAUCCAGCCUCCUCCCAACACCAUUAAACAAACUCACAAGUUCAAUGAACAAAUCCAGGCUACUCCCAACACCAUUAAACAACCCCCAAGUUC
rnacentral:lncRNA from 1 species